CAAUGCUAUAGAGAAUUUUAAAGCAGGCGUAUUAUCCUAUAUGCCGUCUACUUAAUAAGGCCUUUGUGCAUUUUAGGUGAAAUUUAAAAAGAGCUCAGUGAGAGUUUUAGAAAAAAACUUUCUAGUCGAAGAACAGAAGGGAUCUUCUUUGCUUCUCCUGCUCCAGGACCAAACGAUUCCAUCCGUAUUUCUGCUGAGCGGGAGUUAAAGCUGCACGCCCCUUCAGAACCUCAAUCUCCUCAUUUGAAUCCUAAGCAAAAUUGUAAAAUUAAUUUGGGAGCCAGCGCGUUCCCUUUCCCUCCCGCAGCACACCGAGCCUUCUCCUGCCUGCUCGCUUCUGCCUUCUGCUUUGCCGGCGUGGAGAAGCGAUACUGUGAUUUGUCGGCAGUGCAGCCACUCUUUGUUUUACCUAAUUAAGAAAAGGCUCCUACAACAGUCAAAUAUUUUAACUUCUUCAUGAACUCUUCAGACGUCAAAAUACAUUUUCCCAGAAUCAUCAGUAAAAUCAACCCCCCUUUUUAUGGUGGACGAUACUGCAGCGAUUUGCAGCCGAGGAGAACUUGCAAGGGGAGAACAUUUCUGCACGCUGCCUCCUCUCCUCGUGAAGCAGUGUAAAUUCCUUCAGAGCUAAAGUGAACUACAUUUCGAGACUGCACAAAUACACUAAUGCUGGAAAACAGAUCCUAAGUCAGACAGUCACUCCUGUGAAGCAACACAUUCCUCGUGCAGAACUCAGGGAAUGACCAAUCCCAACAAGCCUUUGCCAUUACCCAUUUGCAGCAGGAGGCCAGGAGUGCUUGCACCGAGAAAUCCUCUGCCUCGGUGGAACAGGACCUGCCUCUCAUACCACUUUGGCGGUGUUGGGCCACCUGUGCUUUCACCUACUUGGAUUUCUGUGAUUUUGCUGCCUGCCUGCAGCAAGCCUUGGCUUGGGGCUAUAGGAUAGAGCAUGUGCAGCCUAGCCUUGGAGCUGAAAUUUCAAGUUGAUUUGGGAUUUUUGAGCCUGCAGGAAAUAAAUAAGUGAUUAAUUGCAAGACGGGUUGUUCCUAGGAAAUUCUAACUUACAGCGGUCUGCUAUUUCUUAAGCUUUAAAGAGCAGAUUGUGUACGAAUAGGUGUGUGCGUGAGGAUGUGCUUUAAAAUAACUCUCUAAUUUUUAUUUGGGUGUGCACUGACAUCACGUUCUCAGUUAGUCCUUGAAGAUCUUUAGGACACGUGUUUCACACCCGUACACAGCAGCCGGUGCAGAGCUGCAUUGCGCGACCCAUCACUUGCCGUUCUUCGGUUAGCAGCCUCAGCCUGAGCACCAAGAAGGAUUUUGGGUGCAGCAGGGAGCACACCAGCUCUGGCUGCACACUACAACCCGG
rnacentral:lncRNA from 1 species